GUCUUGUAUGAAAGGAGAGAAGGUUAGCAAGGUCAAGGUCCCCUUGACAAGAAUGGAAGAGGGCCUUGGGCCUGACAACACACACACACACACACACACACACACACACAGACGGUUAAGGCAUUGCCACCUGCUUUGUGGCUUCUAACCAUCGUUUUUU
rnacentral:ncRNA from 1 species